GAUGAACGCUGGCGGCGUGCCUAAUACAUGCAAGUCGAGCGAACAGACUAGGAGCUUGCUCCUCUGACGUUAGCGGCGGACGGGUGAGUAACACGUGGAUAACCUACCUAUAAGACUGGGAUAACUUCGGGAAACCGGAGCUAAUACCGGAUAAUAUAUUUAACCGCAUGGUUCAAUAGUGAAAGACGGUUUUGCUGUCACUUAUAGAUGGAUCCGCGCCGCAUUAGCUAGUUGGUAAGGUAACGGCUUACCAAGGCGACGAUGCGUAGCCGACCUGAGAGGGUGAUCGGCCACACUGGAACUGAGACACGGUCCAGACUCCUACGGGAGGCAGCAGUAGGGAAUCUUCCGCAAUGGGCGAAAGCCUGACGGAGCAACGCCGCGUGAGUGAUGAAGGUCUUCGGAUCGUAAAACUCUGUUAUUAGGGAAGAACAAAUGUGUAAGUAACUAUGCACGUCUUGACGGUACCUAAUCAGAAAGCCACGGCUAACUACGUG
rnacentral:rRNA from 1 species